AUUGAACGCUGGCGGCAUGCUUUACACAUGCAAGUCGAACGGUAACAGGCCGCAAGGUGCUGACGAGUGGCGAACGGGUGAGUAAUGCAUCGGAACGUGCCCAGUCGUGGGGGAUAACUACUCGAAAGAGUAGCUAAUACCGCAUACGAUCUAUGGAUGAAAGCGGGGACCGUAAGGCCUCGCGCGAUUGGAGCGGCCGAUGUCAGAUUAGGUAGUUGGUGGGGUAAAGGCUCACCAAGCCAACGAUCUGUAGCUGGUCUGAGAGGACGACCAGCCACACUGGGACUGAGACACGGCCCAGACUCCUACGGGAGGCAGCAGUGGGGAAUUUUGGACAAUGGGCGCAAGCCUGAUCCAGCAAUGCCGCGUGCAGGAAGAAGGCCUUCGGGUUGUAAACUGCUUUUGUACGGAACGAAACGGCUCUGGUUAAUACCCGGGGCUAAUGACGGUACCGUAAGAAUAAGCACCGGCUAACUACGUG
rnacentral:rRNA from 1 species